rnacentral:rRNA from 1 species
GACGAACGCUGGCGGCGUGCUUAACACAUGCAAGUCGAACGCUGAAGCUCAGCUUUUGUUGGGUGGAUGAGUGGCGAACGGGUGAGUAACACGUGAGUAACCUGCCCCCUUCUUUGGGAUAACGCCCGGAAACGGGUGCUAAUACUGGAUAUUCACUGGUCUUCGCAUGGGGGUUGGUGGAAAGGGUUUUUCUGGUGGGGGAUGGGCUCGCGGCCUAUCAGCUUGUUAGUGGGGUGAUGGCCUACCAAGGCUUUGACGGGUAGCCGGCCUGAGAGGGUGACCGGUCACAUUGGGACUGAGAUACGGCCCAGACUCCUACGGGAGGCAGCAGUGGGGAAUAUUGCACAAUGGGCGCAAGCCUGAUGCAGCGACGCCGCGUGAGGGAUGGAGGCCUUCGGGUUGUGAACCUCUUUCGCUCAUGGUCAAGCCGCAACAAUGGUUGUGGUGAGGGUAGUGGGUAAAGAAGCGCCGGCUAACUACGUG